GGCUCGUUUAUCAAGGGUUAUGGCUUUUUGCUUUGGGUGCGAGAGGUCCUGGGUUCAAAUCCCGGAUGAGCCC